GCCAGGUGUGGUGGCGUGUGCCUGUAGUCCCAGCUACUCAGGAGGCUGAGGCAGGAGAAUCACUUGAACCUGGGAAGCGGAGGUUGCAGUGAGCCGAGAUCAUGCCACUGCACUCCAGCCCGGGUGACAGAGUGAGACUCUGUCUCAA
ensembl:misc_RNA Metazoa_SRP Metazoan signal recognition particle RNA